CACCGCCCGUCACACCAUGGGAGUCAGUUGCUCCAGAAAUGGCCGCGCUAACCCGCAAGGGGGGCAGGCCCUCAAGGAGUGACUGGUGACUGGGGUG
rnacentral:rRNA from 1 species